AGUGGCUGGUAAGUUGACCAAAUUCACCCGCCAGCACACAAAACUACCGGCAUUUGGCGGGGGGCGGGUGGUUAAUUUCCAUCCCUGGUGUGUAGUGUUGAUGAAAAAUGC